rnacentral:tRNA from 1 species
GCGCCAGUAGCUCAGCUUGGACAGAGCGACAGGUUCCUAACCUGUAGGUCCGGAGUUCGAAUCUUCGCUGGCGCG